AUACGGAGGGUGCAAGCGUUACGCGGAAUCACUGGGCGUAAAGCGCGCGCAGGCGGCUUGAUAAGUUGGAUGUGAAAGCCUACGGCUCAACCGUAGAACUGCAUCCAAAACUGUCAGGCUAGAGUGUGGGAGAGGAAGAUGGAAUUAGUUGUGUAGGGGUAAAAUCCGUAGAGAUAACUAGGAAUACCAAAAGCGAAGGCAAUCUUCUGGAACACUACUGACGCUGAGGCGCGAAGGCGUGGGGAGCAAACAGGAUUAGAAACCCUUGUAGUCC
rnacentral:rRNA from 1 species